AGCAACUCUGCGCGCAGCUGCCGCCAUCAUCUUGAUUUGCAGCGUUGUGCGCAAACGCUUGCGCACUAGGCCGCCCAGCUGAGGUGUUGGGAGCAGCCAUUUCUCACUAGGAGCUCUGGUCUGAAGCGCUGACUGCAAGGCCUCUGCACGCGGCGUCCUAUGGGGCUAGUGAAACGCCAUGAAGCACAAAGGAAGAAAAAAGACAACACAAAGGAAACAUCAUACCAAGAUGGACAACAGAGGGUGCCCUCCACUUUGAGAAUGAAGAUGCAUUGACUGAUCAUUUCCUGAAUCAUUACUAAGUGAUGCUUCUUAAAAUUCUUGGCAACUGAGUCUUUUAAACUGCAACAGAUGUGAAAUGAAAAGGAGUCCAAAGAACUAUGGACAAGCUGGGCUCCAAACACAGAUGGAGAAUUGGACCUGUGCAGCACAAAGGGUGAAUUAUGGAAGCCAUGAAGGU